rnacentral:rRNA from 1 species
GGUGAACGCUGGCGGCGUGCCUAAUACAUGCAAGUCGAGCGAACUGAUUAGAAGCUUGCUUCUAUGACGUUAGCGGCGGACGGGUGAGUAACACGUGGGCAACCUGCCUGUAAGACUGAGAUAACUUCAGGAAACCGAAGCUAAUACCGGAUAGGAUCUUCUCCUUCAUGGGAGAUGAUUGAAAGAUGGUUUCGGCUAUCACUUACAGAUGGGCCCGCGGUGCAUUAGCUAGUUGGUGAGGUAACGGCUCACCAAGGCAACGAUGCAUAGCCGACCUGAGAGGGGGAUCGGCCACACUGGGACUGAGACACGGCCCAGACUCCUACGGGAGGCAGCAGUAGGGAAUCUUCCGCAAUGGACGAAAGUCUGACGGAGCAACGCCGCGUGAGUGAUGAAGGCUUUCGGGUCGUAAAACUCUGUUGUUAGGGAAGAACAAGUACGAGAGUAACUGCUCGUACCUUGACGGUACCUAACCAGAAAGCCACGGCUAACUACGUGCCAGCAGCCGCGGUAAGAC